GACGUGCUAAUCUGCGAUAAGCGUCGGUAAGGUGAUAUGAACCGUUAUAACCGGCGAUUUCCGAAUGGGGAAACCCAGUGUGAUUCGUCACACUAUCAUUAACUGAAUCCAUAGGUUAAUGAGGCGAACCGGGGGAACUGAAACAUCUAAGUACCCCGAGGAAAAGAAAUCAACCGAGAUUCCCCCAGUAGCGGCGAGCGAACGGGGAGCAGCCCAGAGCCUGAAUCAGUGUGUGUGUUAGUGGAAGCGUCUGGAAAGGCGUGCGAUACAGGGUGACAGCCCCGUACACAAAAAUGCACAUACUGUGAGCUCGAUGAGUAGGGCGGGACACGUGGUAUCCUGUCUGAAUAUGGGGGGACCAUCCUCCAAGGCUAAAUACUCCUGACUGACCGAUAGUGAACCAGUACCGUGAGGGAAAGGCGAAAAGAACCCCGGCGAGGGGAGUGAAAAAGAACCUGAAACCGU
rnacentral:rRNA from 3 species